rnacentral:rRNA from 1 species
GAAGAGUUUGAUCAUGGCUCAGAUUGAACGCUGGCGGCAGGCCUAACACAUGCAAGUCGAACGGUAACAGGAAGCAGCUUGCUGUUUCGCUGACGAGUGGCGGACGGGUGAGUAAUGUCUGGGAAACUGCCUGAUGGAGGGGGAUAACUACUGGAAACGGUAGCUAAUACCGCAUAACGUCGCAAGACCAAAGAGGGGGACCUUCGGGCCUCUUGCCAUCGGAUGUGCCCAGAUGGGAUUAGCUAGUAGGUGGGGUAACGGCUCACCUAGGCGACGAUCCCUAGCUGGUCUGAGAGGAUGACCAGCCACACUGGAACUGAGACACGGUCCAGACUCCUACGGGAGGCAGCAGUGGGGAAUAUUGCACAAUGGGCGCAAGCCUGAUGCAGCCAUGCCGCGUGUAUGAAGAAGGCCUUCGGGUUGUAAAGUACUUUCAGCGGGGAGGAA